rnacentral:lncRNA from 1 species
CUCCCUUAUUUAAUCUAGCAUGCAUAUUGCUGUCAUAUUAAUCUUUGAACAGUAUCAUUUUGAUGGUGUUAUUCCUCUCUCUAAAUUUGGAUAUAGUACAUUUUAUCAUUUAGCUUAUGGUUGAUACAUCUCCAUUGUGUUGUAUCCUUUAUAGAAAUUGGUUAACUUGCUUACGUUUCAACUAGAUCUUUACAUUUUUUAUUUCCAUGCCUUUAGCCAUGCCUUUUAUCCUCUCUCCCUCGUUUGCCAAUUAAAAUUCUAGUCAUUGUUCAAGAUUCACAUUCUCUUUUCUGGGGUGUUCACUGUACCUUAUAUUCUGCCUCUCCUGCAAUAAAAACACUUUUUACUGAAUAGUGUUUGUGUUUGUCUUCCCUUGUAGCCUCUGAGGACCUAAUCUUCCACAAUUUUUGUAUUUCCAGAGCCUAGCACAUAGUAGAUGCUCACUAAAGGUUUAUUGAAUUUUUAUCUUUUUACCUCAUCAAUAGGAAGUUUUAGAGUUAUUUUUAUGUUGUGAGAUAUAUUUUUGAAACCUUCGCAUCAGAUACUUAGCGUAUUGUUCUUGCACAUAAUGGAAUUUGUGUGAUUAUGAAACAAAUUAAAAACUUUGUUGUAGAUUUCAAUAUAUUUUAAUAUCUUGAGAUUUUAAAAAAAUCUUUUUUUUUUUUUGAGAUGGAGUCUCAUUCUGUCACCCAGGCUGGAGUGCAGUGGUGUAAUCUUGGCUUACUGCAAACUCCGCCGCCCAGGUUCAAGUGAUUCUCCUGCCACAGCCUCCCAAGUAGCUGGGAUUACGGGUGCGUGCCACCGUGCCUGGCCUCUCCUUUUUAUUUUUAAACAUGGCUUACUUUUGUAUGUUUAAUGUUGUAUGUGAAUUUUAUCCCAAAUAAAAAUAGUUGUAAAAGUUUAAGAAUAAUUAUUUAAUUAAAACACUAAAGAC